UGUUUGGUAUAUAUAAAUUCUAGUAUGAAAAAUUAAUGAAUUAAGUCCUUCUUAAAUGAGGCCAUUUACCCAAAGAGGGUGCCAGGCCCGUAUAACAUUAAUGAUUAUUAGAAUAUAUAUCCAAAGAGUCGUGUUGCUUGAUAGUGCAGCACUAAGUUGGUGGUAAACUCCAUCUAAAACUAAAUAUAUCCAUGAGACCGAUAGCAAACAAGUACCGUGAGGGAAAGUUGAAAAGAACUCUGAAUAGAGAGUUAAAUAGUACGUGAAACUGCUUAAAGUUUAAACCCGAUGAAUCUGAAUAUCCAAUAUAAAGAAUUCAGCAUUAUAUGACAAUAAAUAUAUAUUGUAAUAAUGUGCAUUUUCUUUAUAUAUURCAUGGACAUUGUAAUUUAUUAAUAUUUAUACUUAUUAAUUUAUCAAAAGAUUAUAUGGCAUUUGUUUAAUUUAAUUAAUAUUUAUAUUAAAAUAAAUUAAAAGCUUUUAUAAUUGGAUAAAGUAUUAAUAAAUUUUAUAUAUAAAGCAUUUAUUUCUUUAUGGGAAAUAUAUAAAAAUAUAAUAGAAAAUUUAUUUUCUAUUAUAUUUAUUUAUAUGCAUUUAUAUGAUUUACAAUGCGAAAGAUUCAGAAUACCUUCGGGACCCGUCUUGAAACACGGACCAAGGAGUCUAACAUAUGUGCAAGUUUUUGGGUAAUAUAUAAUAAUACCUAAAAGCAUAAUUAACAUAACUUUUUAUAUAUGGGAUUAAUAUAAAUUUUAUAUAUUUAUAUUCAAUCCUGGGGCGUUCUAUAUAGUUAUAUUUAAUAUAUAUGGUAACAUAUUAUUUUAUAUUUAACUAGAGCGUACCUUGAGCAAAUAUGCUGUGACCCGAAAGAUGGUGAACUAUACUUGAUCAGGUUGAAGUCAGGGGAAACCCUGAUGGAAGACCGAAACAGUUCUGACGUGCAAAUCGAUUGUCAGAAUUGAGUAUAGGGGCGAAAGACCAA
rnacentral:rRNA from 1 species